UUGUGAUCAUGAAGCUUGAAGUUGAACUUGUCUCUAGAGAGCUUAUCAGACCUUCUUCUCCAACCCCUGACCACCUCCGCAGAUACCAACUCUCCUUUCUCGACCAGAUUUCUCCCCCAGUCUAUAGUCCUUUGGUUAUAUUUUUUCAUCAGCCGAGGCUGAUAAAAAAUUCGACAUUGGUGAUAUAACCAAUCGGCUAAAGAAAUCCCUCUCUGAUGUCUUAGUCCACUUCUACCCACUCGCUGGACGAGCAAAUGACAACAUGUUCAUAGACUGCAAUGAUGAGGGCACACCCUUCUUGGAAACUCGAGUCAAGUGCCAACUAUCUGAUGUGAUCCAAAAUCCAGUUCCUAGUGAACUUAACAAGUUAGUUCCAUAUCAGCUACACGAAGUUGCUGAUCUAGCCCUUGGUGUCCAGCUAAAUGUCUUUGAGUGUGGUGGAAUUGCAAUUGGUGCUUGCAUUUCUCACAAGAUUGCAGAUGCUUUAUCAUUUUUCAUGUUCAUCAAAACAUGGGCGGGCACUGCUAGAAGAGAUCAUGGUCACCAGAUAGAUGAUCAUACAGUUAUGUCUCCACGGUUUGUAUCUGCCACACUCUUCCCACCAAGGAACAUAUCCGGGUUUAAUCCAAGUGUUGGGAUCACAAAGGAGAACAUUGUUACAAAGAGGUUUGUGUUUGAUGCUUCAAAGAUAGAUUUGAUUAAAUCAAAAUAUGGUGAUAGUGAAGAUGAACAUGAGCAUGAGCAUGAUAGCCGAGAAAGUCACCAAAGACCGCCAUCUCGUGUGGAGGCUCUAUCUGCUUUCAUAUGGAGUCGCUAUGUGGCUGCAACUAAAGCAGGGACUGAAGCAUCUGAAAGGGUCUAUGCCAUUGUUCAUGCUGUGAACCUUAGGACAAGGAUUGAUCCACCCCUGCCAGAAUGCUCUUUUGGAAAUCUCUACCGAAUUGCAGUCACGGUUCCACGUCUGGAUACAGGGGAGGAGUGCUAUGGCCUUGUAAGGCAGGUAAGAGAGCAAGUCAGUCAUAUCGACAAGGAUUAUGUGAAGAAAUUGCAGGAGGGUAAUGAACACUUGAGUUUUAUCAAACAAAGCUCUGAGAAUUUCACCAAGGGAGAGAUGGUCACACUGAGCUUCACUAGUUUGUGCAGAUUUCCUCUGUAUGAAGCUGAUUUUGGAUGGGGAAAGCCUACUUGGGUCGGCUCGCCUGCCCUGACUUUCAACAACUUGGUUGUUUUCAUGGACACUAAAUCUGGGGGUGGAAUAGAAGCAUAUAUUAACAUGAAGGAAGGAGAUUUGGCUAAGAUUGAAGCUGACAAAGAGUUCACUGCAUUUGUUUCUAGUCGAAGCAAUGACGAAUGUCUGCCACUGCAGCUCUUGGUUCUCCCCUGUUGAUUGAUGUCAUACAUUCUAGUCUGCAUGAAUCUAUGUAUUAUUGCUAGUGUAUUUGGUAAACUGCUACUAGUGAAAUCAGAUUAGUAAACUGCUGCUUAUAU